GAUGAACGCUGGCGGCGUGCCUAAUACAUGCAAGUCGAGCGAACGGACGAGAAGCUUGCUUCUCUGAUGUUAGCGGCGGACGGGUGAGUAGCACGUGGAUAACCUACCUAUAAGACUGGGAUAACUUCGGGAAACCGGAGCUAAUACCGGAUGAUAUUUUGAACCGCAUGGUUCAAAAGUGAAAGACGGUCUUGCUGUCACUUAUAGAUGGAUCCGCGCUGCAUUAGCUAGUUGGUAAGGUAACGGCUUACCAAGGCAACGAUGCAUAGCCGACCUGAGAGGGUGAUCGGCCACACUGGAACUGAGACACGGUCCAGACUCCUACGGGAGGCAGCAGUAGGGAAUCUUCCGCAAUGGGCGAAAGCCUGACGGAGCAACGCCGCGUGAGUGAUGAAGGUCUUCGGAUCGUAAAACUCUGUUAUUGGGGAAGAACAUAUGUGUAAGUAACUGUGCACAUCUUGACGGUACCUAAUCAGAAAGCCACGGCUAACUACGUG
rnacentral:rRNA from 1 species